rnacentral:misc_RNA from 1 species
UUCUUCUUUUUCUUCUUCUUCUUAAUUACUUAUUCUUCUACAUAAGCAUACAAUUCUCUACAGAUCCAACUUCACUGCUCUACAUUUCUUUUCUCUCUGCCCCAAUAUUUUCCUGGAAAAAUAUAUAGAAGAAUCUAGCAGAGUACUGCAUAACCCAGUAAUGGAUUCUCAUGUAAAACAGAAACAGCUGGAACUGUAAUUUCUCUCGCUUUCAACUUCUUCUUCUUCUUGGAGUUGUAGAGUCGCUUCGCUGCAGCAUUGCGUGAUGGAGGACAGGGAGGCACAAGUGCUGACAGGUUUGCCAAUGGAUGAACGGCUGAUGAGAUUUAUUAACAAAGAAUGGAAGGACGUGGAAAAGCGUUUCGAACAGCUGGCUUCUGCCGGAAAUGGGCCUGAACCGGUGGUGAAGUGGUCGGAUUUCGGUUUUUGUAUAGGAAUGCAACAAUCUCCAGAAUUUGCUAAAGAGGUCUUAAUGGCAAUAAGAGGAAGAGGAAGAGAAUUUAAACUUGAUAUCACAAGAAGAGAACUCCAUAGUUACUGGCAUCGGUUGACUGAUCCCUGUUUCCAUUCAAGAGUGAAAAUUUUCUUUGACAUGUGCGAUAGAAAUGGGGAUGGAAAAAUUAAUGAUAUGGACAUCAAGCAGGCAAUUUUGCUAACUGCUUCAGCAAAUAAAUUGUCUCUGUCACAUGAGGAAGCACAUGAAUGUGCUGCUUUAAUUAUGGAAGCUCUUGACGCUGAAGAGAGGGGCUUUAUUGAGCCACGUCAACUAGAAACUCUGUUCAAAGCAAGCUUAUCAUCACCACCACCUCCGUAUCAUCAAAACAAUUAUGAAAAUGAUCCAAGAGGCAAAACUAGGUCGAGGCUUGAAAUCCUGUUUCGAUCUUAUUGGAAACGAGCGUGGAUAACUGUGUUGUGGUUGGUGAUUUGCUUUUCAUUAUUCACAUGGAAGUUCAUCCAAUACAGGCAUAGAGCAGCUUUUGAAGUGAUGGGUUAUUGCCUUUGUACAGCCAAAGGAGCAGCUGAAACCUUGAAAUUUAAUAUGGCUCUAAUUCUUCUCCCUGUUUGUCGAAAUACCAUUACUUGGCUUCGCAGGAAGCCAACUUUCAAUUCUUUUGUACCUUUCAAUGAUAAUAUCAACUUCCACAAGGUAAUUGCAGGGGGCAUAGUGGUAGGUGUGAUACUCCAUGGAGCAACCCAUCUUGCUUGUGAUUUCCCAAGAAUUAGUGGUUCAAACCGGUCAAUUUUCUGGCAAACAAUAGCAGUCCGAUUUGGGUAUCAUCAGCCAUCAUAUAUUCAAAUUUUAGCCACAACAGAGGUGGCUACUGGAAUUGCCAUGGUAAUGCUAAUGACAGUUGCAUUUUUGCUAGCAACAAAAUGGCCUCGCCGGCAUUCUCCUUCUCUGCCUAGGUCCAUACGACAUGUCACCGGAUAUAACACUUUCUGGUACUCUCACCACUUGCUCAUUCUUGUCUAUGCCUUGCUCAUUGUUCACUCCAUGUUCCUCUUCCUAACUGACAAUGUAACUGAAAAAACGGUAUGCAUUUUGUUCCUUUUAUUUAUAUAUUGCAGAUAAGUACAUGAAAAUAUAAAAGAGUUUAUAUUUGAGUUUGAUUUUCUUUGCCUAUAGCUACUUACUGACAUAUGUUCACAUGUUUUUGCAUUAAUAAAUCACUCAAACUCGAAAUCUCACGAUUCUAACGACGACUUCGAUGACACUAAACUAAAACUUAUUGGUAGAACCCACAAUUUUUUACUUAACCGGAAUAUGUCCGAUUAGAAUCAGCACAUGUUAAUAUUAGAACCUUUUUGUGCAGACAUGGAUGUACGUUGCCUUUCCGGUUAUGCUAUAUGCCGCCGAACGUUUUGUUCGAGCACUAAGAUCAGGGUUUUUUGAUGCAAAAAUUAUCAAGGCAAGUAUUCAUCCAGGGAAAGUUUUAUCCCUCAAGCUGCACAAACCAGAAGGUUUCAAGCACAAGAGUGGGAUGUAUAUCUUCAUACAAUGUCCUCAGAUUUCUUUAUUUCAAUGGCACCCUUUUUCGUUAACUUCAGGACCAGAGGAUGAUCACUUAAGUGUUCAUAUCAGAACUCUAGGAGACUGGAGUUAUCAAAUAUACAGUCUCUUCCAGGAGGCAAGAGAAAGUGAUUCCACCAUUAAAAAGGAGGGGAAAAAAAAAACGAAAUGGAUGUUUGUUGUAGUGAUAUUGUUUCUGGGUUUUGCAGGCAAUACUAUCUGCGGUGAAGGAAUAUCCAAAAAUAUACAUUGAUGGACCCUAUGGUGCUGCUUCCCAAGAUCAUGUCAAGUAUGAUGUAGUCAUGCUAAUUGGACUUGGCAUAGGAGCCACACCUUUCAUUAGCAUCCUCAAAGAUGUUGCAAAUGGUCUCCACCAAAAGGCAUGGCUCUAAUUAAGCUCUGCUCUUCAUAAAAUUUCUACAUAUUCCAGAGUUUGACUUAAAUUUCAUGUAGGCCAAUUGUAGAGAAUGCAACAUUGCAAGAGGCCCUUUAAAAGCUUAUUUUUAUUGGGUUACAAGGGAACAAAGCUCCUUUGAUUGGUUUAGGGAUAUCUUGUGGGAAAUAUCAAAAACAAGCCAAAAGCAGGUAAUAUCUAAACAAUCCUUAUUUACAUUUUCUUUUUUUUUUUUACUUAAAUUCAAGACCUCAUAAUUUUAAAUACGAAUCAAGUACCACUAAACUAAAAUUCAUUAAUUAUUUACACUUCAUUGAAUUGGUAUUACUAUUACUUUAUAAUUUUAGAAACAACUUCAACAUUAACAGAUCGAAAUUCAUUAAUUAAUUUAUUUUUUUAAUGGUACCCCGCAAAGUAUUUCUUUGCUGUACUGACAUUUUCCCAUUUGCCUGCCUGGUGAUCCUUCUAGUCUAUCAUAGAAAUGCACAACUUUUUAACCAGUGUUUAUCAAGAAGGGGAUGCAAGAUCUGCUUUGAUAAGUGCUAUACAAGCAUUGUAUCAUGCCAAGAAAGGCAUUGAUAUUGUUUCUUGGAAUCAGGUAAAAUAUAUUGCUACUCUUUUUAUAAAAUUAUAUUUAAUUUCAACUAAUUUUCAAUAUACAAUCAAAUAAAAAAAUUAUUUUUUAAAAAAUAUUAUUUUACAGAAAAAUUAUUUGAUAUAGUGCUUCAAAGUCAUUUAAUUUGAAAUUAGAAAUAAGUGAUGAAAUUUCAGGCACGUACGCAAUUUGGUCGCCCAAAUUGGUUCAAUAUUUUCUCCAAAUUGGCUGCAAGGCACAGAGGAGAACGAAUUGGAGUAUUCUACUGCGGCCCAUCAACACUUGCAAAGGAGUUGGAGACGUUGUGCAUCAAAUUCUCAACCAAAUCAAGUACUAGAUUUGUAUUUCACAAGGAGAACUAUUAGAUGUGCAGUGUAUUAGUCUUGUAUAGAUUCCAAUAAGAAUGGGAAAUGA